AGCAGAAGUGCUCACUAUCACACAUUACAGAUUUGUGAACAAUGUUUGAGAGCAAUGGUUAACACGUCUCUGCUCCAGAGGAGCAUGAGUUUGGUCUGCAUAGCCGGUAGUAAGUCGGACCUGUUCCCAGUGAGGGUUGGACUCCGCCAGGGCUGCCCUUUGUCACCGGUUCUGUUCAUCACUUUUAUGGACAGAAUUUCUAGACGCAGCCGUGGUGUGGAUUGUGUCGAGUUUGGUGGCAGGAGAAUCUCGUCUCUGCUUUUUGCAGAUGAUGUGGUCCUCCUAGCUUCAUCCAGCUCUGACCUUCAGCUCUUGCUGGGUAGGUUCGCGGCCGAGUGUGAAGCGGCUGGGAUGAGGAUCAGCACCUCCAAAUCUGAGACCAUGGUUCUCGACUGGGAAAGGGUGGCUUGCCAACUCCGGGUCAGGAGAGAGGUCCUACCUCAAGUGGAGGAGUUUAAGUAUCUCGGGGUCUUGUUCACGAGUGAGGGUAGGAGGGAUCGGGAGAUUGACAGGCGGAUUGGUUCAGCGUCUGCAGUGAUGCAGUGGUGGUGUAUCUUUACAGUAUGUUCUAAUGGGAAACAGGCUUCAACGCAAACUGUUGUUUUCCGCUUGGUCCUAGAGCUCAACCAGUGUCAAUUUAACAUAGCAUAAUUGUCAUGACUCCCAAUCCUUCACCCUCCUCAGCCGUCAUGCAGCACACCUGGUCUCAUCAUCAAACCCCAGCCAAGCCCUGUUUUCCUGACUACCACAAUCAGCUUCAUCCACUUCACCUGCUUCUGACUCCUCAGCUCAUCACUCGCACCUGUUUCCCCUGCUACAAAAGAACCAGCCAUCCAGUCAUUCAGGGCCAGAUUAUUGAAACAUUUGCCAGUAAAUUCUCCAGCCAUCCACCCUGCCUGAUCUCUGCCUCCGGACCUCGUUUUUUCUCCUGACCCCUGCUUUGAACUCUGCCUGCCAUCACAACCCUCGCCUGUCUUCUACCACGUCUCCAGCCUGCUCCCUGUACCUGCUUGUGCCGAUCUGGUUUUGACUCACGCCUGCCCUCCGACUCUGUCUCCUGCCUCGCCCUCCUCUGGUUUCCAUGGUGAUGUCAUGGGGGUCAGAAGUCACUUUGUGAGAUGUAGCUGGACUCACGGAGGCAGACAGGGAGGUGGUGGAAGGAGAUGACAACAUCUUGUGGAGACAGGAAGUGGACUGUUUUAGCCAAUCAGGGAUUAAUGGAUUUCAGGCCUCUCCCACUGAGGCAGGGUCAAGUGAAUCUCGGCUGUUAUCUCUGCUGUGAUCUCCAGAAAUAUUCAUGGUGCCUGCAGAGGAAUACAGCAUGUAGAAACAUUAGAUGGGAACAUGUUCAGCACACAUGCAAAAGGUCUGAGAAGAUGCAUUCAUGUCGGAACACGUAGGACACGCAGUCUAAAUCAGCUUUCUGCAGGGGAGGACAGAACAGGGAGCACGAGCUGGCGUUUGCUGCUGCUAUUUUCUGCCCAUUAGAAGGAAAUGGACUCAGUCAACCAAUCAGAAGUUCGCGUCAUGCUAGUGGGUCCUGCCAGAACCAAGGUGAGAACCCCAGACUGGAUGUGCUGCUGUUGGACCAAAGUGGUGCCCUGACAUCAGUACCAGGAGGCGUCUUCUUUUCGGGCUUGUAGAUGAAUAAGACAGUAGAUGUAAUCAGAACCAGAACCAGAACCAUCAAUCCCACCAAACAAACAAUAAAAAACAUAAAAACUCAAGUAGACACAAGUUUGCUGUCAAACAACCACAUGAACUUUUCUUCAUUUUUUUAAAAAGAUUUCCUUAAAGUUCUAGAAUGUCCAAAAUGGUCCAUAGAACCUUCUGGAGUGAGUUCUGAGGGAGGUUUUCAGAGUCUACUGAAUGAGUACCACAUCUGUAAACUUCUGGGCAGUUCUUCUCACCUGUUCAGAAUAAUAGAAACCAUCAGGCCAGGUGUACUGGUUCAGGAGCAAACGUUAGACCAUGCACAUUCCUGUUGAAUAACUAUAUCACUGUGGUGACAUCAUGAUUUUUAUUUGCUGCUUUUUAGUUUAUGUGUUUUUAUACCAAACUUUGGUUUCAUGGCUGUUCAUGGCUGUUGUAAAAAGCUUGUAUGAAUACAAUUAUGACUGAUAGGUUGAGUCUGGCAGAUGUUGCUACUAUGUAGCUCAUCACCAUUCAGUGUGUGAAUGGCUGGUUAUGUUGUAAAGUGCCUUAGGGGGUUGUAGAACUCUAGAAUGUGUGUGUGUGUGUGUGUGUAAUGUAUGUAUUUAUAUACAUACAGUUCACUGUUUUACCUAUCCAUCCUUUGAUGCGUAGUCUUAAGCUUCACAUUGUCUGAAUAAAUGUUGUAUGAAUGUAUCCUGAAUCUACUCAGAUCAACCAGAAUCGGCAAAGCAACAGAAAAGAGAUAAAAACCAACCAAAGAUGUCAGAACAAUACAACUGCAGAUCCAGAAAAUGAACACAAAGUAAAACGGAGCCCAUAAUGGUCUGACCUGCCUGUAGAACAGAGUCUGGCAUAAAUUAGGUCCAGGUCUAAUCCAGCUUUGAGUCAGAAUCCCGCUACAUCCCAUCUGCUAGAAUCUGAUUUCAACAACCAACAGUCCAUGAUCCAUUAUCCACCAGUCGCACAUGUGAGACAGAAAGAGAAAUCUCACCUCCGCUCAGUCCAGCAGCUGAUCGUCUCUGAGAGGAGCUACAGGGAGGAGGGGGGCGGAAGGUUAGCUGUAAGGAGAGGCGGGACAUUCUGGAUUAGGACCAGGACAUAUAGAAUACAGAUUAUUACUAAUUCUCUUGCUUGUUUUGCAGAACUGCAUAAUGACUUUGGUUUUAUUCGGGGUUUGCACUACUGCAGUUAGCAUGUUCUCCCCACGCUUGCCCUGCUCAUGGGGGCAACAGUGGCAGAGGAGGUAAGUUCUAGCACCUGUAACAAGACGUUUGCUGAUUUGAGCCCAAUCUGCCAGUCAUUGUGACCUUGGGCAAAACACUUCACCCCUAUCCUCCUGGGUGGGGUGCGUCGGGGGACCGGAGUCUUCUAACAGUGUGUCCCAGGGCAGCUAUGGCACCAAUGUAUGAAUGGGUAAAUGAUUGGUUCAUGUUGUAAAGGGUCUUGCAGGGUUGUAGAACCCUAGAAAGGGCUACAUCAAAUAUACCAUUUAAUAAACUCUUUACCUAGCCUAGAUAUUUCUACAGACGGGCCCAGUCCCAAUACUCGCCCUGCACCCCACAAUCCUCAGCAAAGGGCACCUGGAGGCUUCCAUUGAGUAGCACACAAGUGUGCACAUAUUUGCUGAAUGGAGACAGUGAGCAUUACAUCAUCAACCGCUACUCACAUGCCGGUUGUCUGGAAUGGAUUACUUCUCACAAUUAGACAGUCUUCAUCCAUCGCUCUUGAAAUCACAGCUGCUUUUAUGUGUCACAAACUCCUCCUCCUGACCACCCCCUACGGACCCAACUGGCGGACUACUACACUUCCCAUUAUUCCCAUCACCAGCGUGGCUCGUCGACGUCAUCACGCCGACUCUAUUUACGGAAGUGCCGCCGCUCAUUCAUCACUCAGUCAUCGUUCAUACCAGACAUCGACCCGAG